UGAAAUUCCCCAGUUAUGUGUUCUUUAAUGCAUGCUAAGUGUUUGAUGCAAGACCUUUUUGAAUGGAGUAUGAGCCAAUAGCAUAUCUUCUUAUAUUAUCACAUGUUUAUGGUUUUCUAAAUACUUAAAGAGAUGUUCUAGUCUUGUGAUGGUGAAUGAAUGUCCAUGGUUAUGAUUAUUCAACAAUGGUUAUGUUUUACUUUUAUGUCAUCGAGUCCGGG
rnacentral:lncRNA from 1 species